rnacentral:lncRNA from 1 species
AAGACAAAGUGUGAGAGAGCACAGGAUCUCGGGCUCUGUGAGGCUCUGGGCACAAGCAGGGCCACAUCUGAGCACAGAUGACCAUGUACUACACCUUGAUGGGGAGGGAACCUUCCCACACCGCUGCACAGAACCCAGAGACGUCCUAGCAUCUGAGGAUUGGGAACUGUGGGCACAUCUGGUGUCAGAACCCUUGGACUGGACAAGACUAUUUAUUCUCAUGUGGCCACUGUAAGGUUUCUUCAAGAGCAUUUUUGAGGUAUGAAUAAGUGGAAACCAGAAGAGAGAAGAAAGAGGGCUUGAGGAUCACAGCUGACAAACUGGACUGUGGCCACUGGAUUAUCUGCUCCAUGAGUGUAGGGGUCCUGCCAGCUGUGUCUGCCAUUAGAUUCAAUCACCUAGUACAGCAUCUGGCACUUGGGAUACAUUUCACGAAUGCAUGGGCAUGAAGUAAUACCAAACAUGCAAGGAUUCUUCAGGGGCUUGCAUAAUCGCAUGAUACAGGACCUACACACGUGAUAAAAUUGUACAGAACUAAACAUGCACAUGUUAUCACAGAGUGGGAGUGCCAGCAUCUAGCAUCAGAGCCUAGACCAUGGAAGUGCAGCACUUAGCCAAAAGCAACAUGAUAUUGCCCUGGACUUGACUGGGAUCCUGCUUGGUUGUGUGGAAAGCUGGGGCAGAAGAAGGAAGGCAGAUGUGAGACCCCCAGUAUAUCUCUUGCCUUGGAUGGCUAACAAAGCAGCCAGUUUCAACUUUAAGUUUCAGAGAAACUUUUCAUUUGGAAACACUCAGGCUGAAAUCCUGGAGAAGUGGGUUGUGGUUAUGAAGAAGGUACCUCAGAGUGAAUCUAUAUACAUAAUGAUUUUUAUUUUUCCCAAGGAGAAGAAUGGUGGGGGAGAAAUAAUUGAACCAAGCUAGAGACAAUCCGGGGACUAAGAGACUGAAUAUACAAACAGAAAAUGUUCAGACCAUGUAUAAAAAUAGAACUUUGACCCACAACCUGCAGCAACCUCCUAUCUACAACAAACAACCCAGGAAGCCAGUCUGCUGUAAGUCGGAUUUAUGGGAAGCCAGUUUGCUCUCUCUAGUGACAAUCCAGGAAGCUAAACAGCAACCCCUGUAACAAUCUGCCUCAAAUAGAUGGGACUUGAUUAAUAACUGACACUUCCCUAAUUUUUGUCUCCACUUCCAACUUAAGGACCAACCAGAGAAAGCCAAAUAUGCACCCCAACCAAUCAGAUAGGAUGCCCCCUUUCUAGUUAUCCCACACACAGCUCCCCAAAACCAACAGCCUCAAAUCUGCACACACCUGAGGCUUCCCUUUUCUCUCUAUAAAGCUUUCCCACUCCCCUGGCCUGCCCUUGAGUCUUUGCAAAGGGUGGUGGCUGACUCCCUUGCUAUAGCAAGCUCUGAAUAAAUAGGCUUUGCUUCCCUCACUUGGUUGGUCUUUGUUUAUUUCAUGCACCUUUCUAGAUAUUUGUAGAAUAAACAAUUUCAACCAACUAAUGGAAUCACCUACUUUCCUGACACAUCAGUCAGUGACUGGGUGACUGUCAGCUGCUCCUUCCUUCACAUGGCUCUAUCCCAGGGCUGUUCCAUGAUGGUUUCACUGAGGUCUAGAGAGGCCUGAGAGUCAGCAUCAGGACCCACUUGGGGGCACAAAUGGCAUUUGUGGUUAGUGUCCAUUAUGCUUGCUUGAUGCCUUUGCCCGAUCUAGUGGUGCCCACCCUGGACUGGUUGUUAAAUGAUUUGGAUAUACUGUCCUUCCCACCAGCCCCCGAGCUAAAUUGUUGCCAUCCUCCUGGCCCAGUUCAACACCAUGCUUCUUACUGAAAAUUACCAUGGAGGAUGAAUAGUUGUGGGUUGGCUUCUAAUCUCAGCACUCACUAGAAGGGCAAGGCACACCCUCGCCCUGGUCCUGUCUCUGCUGCUGUAAUAUAAGGAUUGGAUUAAAUAAUUUUUCUUCCAUCCAUAUCUCACCCUGCCCAUCUCUUCCCAGCCCUCAUGCAUGUUGGGCCUUACAGAAGUCUCAGUCUCAAUGGGCUCACCCUUUGGAGAAGGAGGGUGAAUUGAGCAAGUGGCAUUUCC